rnacentral:rRNA from 1 species
GGACAAUGGGGGCAACCCUGAUCCAGCGACGCCGCGUGAGUGAAGAAGUAUUUCGGUAUGUAAAGCUCUAUCAGCAGGGAAGAAAAUGACGGUACCUGACUAAGAAGCCCCGGCUAACUACGUGCCAGCAGCCGCGGUAAUACGUAGGGGGCAAGCGUUAUCCGGAUUUACUGGGUGUAAAGGGAGCGUAGACGGUUUGGCAAGUCGGAAGUGAAAGCCCGGGGCUUAACUCCGGGACGGCUUUGGAAACAUGUUAGACUAGAGUAUCGGAGAGGUAAGUGGAAUUCCCAGUGUAGCCGGUGAAAUGCCGUAGAGAUUGGGAGGAACACCGGCGGCGAAGGCGGCUUACUGGACGAUAACUGACGUUGAGGCUCGAAGGCGUGGGGAGCAAACAGGAUUAGAUCCCUGGUAGUCCACGCGC